GCGAGGUUUAAGAAGUUCGUUUAUUUAAGACCAGUCCAUCUAUAAACAGGAGUUUUGGGAUAAACUCAUCAAUGUAGUGUCCAGUUAUUCGUCCCAUAUCAAAUACUCAGUACUUUUGUAUAUGCGCUUCGGUGAUACUGAUAGGUGAAUAGAGUUCCAUAAUAAUUAUAACGGCAAUCAUCCUUAUCCCACAUAUCUUCAUAUAGACUGUUCUAAUGCAAAUUGAAACAUAAGCUCCGCC
rnacentral:lncRNA from 1 species